rnacentral:lncRNA from 1 species
GGAAGGUUCGGGAAAACAAGGCGGAGGUUUGCAGUGAUGCGGAGAGGCCUCCAGGCCUGUGGUUGAUGAUGGAUGCUGCUCCCUCCCCGAGGCACAGGCUCUCCCCUCAAACAGGAAAGCUGAGCCAGCUGCUGGGCCAGGUGCUUCCAAGACAAACAUCCUACGUACCCACUGUCCCUAUGCUGGGCCUGGCUUUUGUUCCUGCAGGAUGAUAAAGACCCACCUUGGGAAUCCUGGAUACAGGCCUCUGGGAAACCUUCUUGGGGGCUUUGGGCUGCUGCCAGGCAGAGUUGUGGGCCGAGAAGGGGGAGCCCAGGAAGGCUCCCAGCAACAGGAGUAGCUCAUGUCCAGCCAAGUUCCAGGAGAGAUUUUUUUACAAGAGCCAAGGCUCUGGGCUCUGGACUCUGGGCUGACCGACCAUCAGGGGAUGCAGAUGGCUUCAUCCUUAAUGAGAGAUUACACAUUUAAAAGUCUUAACCCCAUCUUUGAGUAUUAAUCACCAUAAGAAGCAAAAGGAAAAA